rnacentral:rRNA from 2 species
UAGUGGCGAACGGGUGAGUAACACGUGGGCAAUCUGCCCUGCACUCUGGGACAAGCCCUGGAAACGGGGUCUAAUACCGGAUAACACUGUCCCCCUCCUGGGGGACGGUUGAAAGCUCCGGCGGUGCAGGAUGAGCCCGCGGCCUAUCAGCUUGUUGGUGGGGUAAUGGCCUACCAAGGCGACGACGGGUAGCCGGCCUGAGAGGGCGACCGGCCACACUGGGACUGAGACACGGCCCAGACUCCUACGGGAGGCAGCAGUGGGGAAUAUUGCACAAUGGGCGAAAGCCUGAUGCAGCGACGCCGCGUGAGGGAUGACGGCCUUCGGGUUGUAAACCUCUUUCAGCAGGGAAGAAGCGAAAGUGACGGUACCUGCAGAAGAAGCGCCGGCUAACUACGUGCCAGCAGCCGCGGUAAUACGUAGGGCGCAAGCGUUGUCCGGAAUUAUUGGGCGUAAAGAGCUCGUAGGCGGUCUGUCACGUCGGGUGUGAAAGCCCGGGGCUUAACCCCGGGUCUGCAUUCGAUACGGGCAGACUAGAGUGUGGUAGGGGAGAUCGGAAUUCCU